AUGAAUUCCAUCGAGACUCGGUGGUGGUCGGCUGGGUUCUGCACAAGUGAAAGGAGCAUGGUAACGAUUUUGAUCGGAGAUAGGCUGUUUGCGCUGGGUCGCAGAUGGGAGAGGGGAGGUCUAUGUCGAAGGUGGAACGUCGAGGUCGUCGGUGUAGGUUGCAUUCGCGGAUUGGCUGAGGUUGUGUGGGUCGUUCUCGGCAUUCGAAGGUUGCUGUUGCGAACAGAGGAGGGAAAAUUUUGUUGGGGAUGA